rnacentral:tRNA from 1 species
UAGCUCAGUGGUAGAGCACAUGCCUGCCAUGCACCAGGUUCUGGGUUCAAUCCCCAG